GCUAGAAUAAUUAUUAUAUAUUGAAGCAUGCAAAGGUUUUGUAUAACUAGAUUCCCUUAUAAAAUGAUCGUUAUAAGUUGUGGCAUUUAAGGUUUUGUUAAUAGGUGCAUUUGACUCAAACCCUAAGCCAAAUUUCUUUUGACCCAAGUUCGAACCUUGCAACAUAUUAUUUAACUUGGAUGAACUAUUGAGGAAUUUUUGAAGAAUACUAUUUUUCUCAUUUAUUCUUUUAGUUUGUAAUUGCAUGCUGUUAUGUUUUUCAGAUAAUUUUUGUAAAGUUUCUUCAUGCUCAAGUAUGAGUUUAUCCUUAUAUUCUAUUUCAGUUUUAAGCAUGAUUGUUUCUUUUUCUUUAUUUCUAAUGAUUUCCUCAAAAUUAUCUAUUUUUAAUUCUAACAAUUCAACCCUAUCA
rnacentral:lncRNA from 1 species